GGCUGGAGGGACAGAGCAGCCAUGCUAUAAGCAGCUUAAGCCAGAUAUAAUGAGGAGAGGAAUCCGUGCUAUUUCAGAAGACAUCCAAUAGCAAACAACUGACCAUCUUUCAAAGUACAAGAUAGAUUUCUCCAGUACAGACAAUGGAGGAAGUGAGAACUACUGGCCAAAAAGAUGAGGCACCCUCUACUCCCUCAGUUCUUUCCACCAUCUCCCCACAAUCAAGAUUCCAUUAGGACUCUGAGGAAGAUGGAAAGGUGGUCAGGAAGUGUGAAUAGGCAGAAUCCAUCUCUAAGAACUCCGGUUACAGGUGCUAAAAGCAGACACUGGUAUUUUCACCUGGAGUACAGAUCUCAUAUGUAUCGGAUCCAGGACACUUCAUAGCCAGAACUUCCUGCAGCAAUAAGGCUUGCAGCCUGUUCUGGGUCUCCUUGAGCACGCUGGGGGUAAAUGUGCUGCAGACAGACCAGCAUGAGGGACAGCGACCCUCUCUGACGCAUGCCAAGCAUCUACUAUGGGCAUCCUGAUCCUGGGAAAACGGCCGGACAAGAGAUGCACCUACCUUUUGAAGCCAGGUCUCUUAGGUUAUGUCUACACUGCAUUUUAAAAAACAGGGAAUUGUAUCUCAGGGUACAUCUACACUACCC